rnacentral:rRNA from 1 species
GACGAACGCUGGCGGCGUGCUUAACACAUGCAAGUCGAACGGAAAGGCCCUGCUUUUGUGGGGUGCUCGAGUGGCGAACGGGUGAGUAACACGUGAGUAACCUGCCCUUGACUUUGGGAUAACUUCAGGAAACUGGGGCUAAUACCGGAUAGGAGCUCCUGCUGCAUGGUGGUGGUUGGAAAGUUUCGGCGGUUGGGGAUGUACUCGCGGCUUACCAGCUUGUUGGUUGGGUAGUGGCUUACCAAGGCUUUGACGGGUAGCCGGCCUGAGAGGGUGACCGGCCACAUUGGGACUGAGAUACGGCCCAGACUGCUACGGGAGGCAGCAGUGGGGAAUAUUGCACAAUGGGCGGAAGCCUGAUGCAGCAGCGCCGCGUGCGGGAUGACGGCCUUCGGGUUGUAAACCGCUUUCGCCUGUGACGAAGCGUGAGUGACGGUAAUGGGUAAAGAAGCACCGGCUAACUACGUG